rnacentral:tRNA from 1 species
CAAAUUAUAUCUUAAUAGUAAAGAAUUUCAUUUACAAAGAAAAUAAUAUCGUGCAAUUCGAUUUAAUUUGA